rnacentral:rRNA from 1 species
CCUACGGGAGGCAGCAGUAGGGAAUCUUCCGCAAUGGACGAAAGUCUGACGGAGCAACGCCGCGUGAGUGAAGAAGGUUUUCGGAUCGUAAAACUCUGUUGUUAGGGAAGAACAAGUGCCGUUCGGAAUAGGGCGGCACCCUUGACGGUACCUAACCAGAAAGCCACGGCUAACUACGUGCCAGCAGCCGCGGUAAUACGUAGGUGGCAAGCGUUGUCCGGAAUUAUUGGGCGUAAAGCGCGCGCAGGUGGUUUCUUAAGUCUGAUGUGAAAGCCCACGGCUCAACCGUGGAGGGUCAUUGGAAACUGGGGAACUUGAGUGCAGAAGAGGAAAGUGGAAUUCCAAGUGUAGCGGUGAAAUGCGUAGAUAUUUGGAGGAACACCAGUGGCGAAGGCGACUUUCUGGUCUGUAACUGACACUGAGGCGCGAAAGCGUGGGGAGCAAACAGGAUUAGAUACCCUGGUAGUCCACGCCGUAAACGAUGAGUGCUAAGUGUUAGAGGGUUUCCGCCCUUUAGUGCUGCAGCUAACGCAUUAAGCACUCCGCCUGGGGAGUACGGUCGCAAGACUGAAACUCAAAGGAAUUGACGGGGGCCCGCACAAGGCGGGUGGGGAGCAUGUGGUGUUAAUUCGAAGCAACGCGAAGAACCUUAC